rnacentral:misc_RNA from 1 species
UGUGACUCGCGUAGUAGUCAGGUGUGAAACGCCGCGCACGCACACUCCUCCGUACGGAUUUAACGGCUGGUGGUGUUGGUGCGACGUUAGGUAUAUAGUAUCAUCGAAUAGCAUAGUGUGUCGUACGGCAAAAAGUUGCAUAAACGGCUACGCGAAUUUACUCCUGUUUAGAUUAUUAUCUCCGGUGCGGUUGCCGCCGCCGCCGUUAUACCAAGGUGCGUUUCGGGAUGAUAGCGAGGGUCGCCGAACUGACACGCGGCAAGGAUCGGAGCAGAGAAGAAAUUUAUCCAGGAAUCGUGAUACUGACAAUGAGCAUGACGCAACGAGACUGAAGUUAGCCGUAUGUAUAUUUUCAAAAAGUACGUACGUACAUACGUACGUACUCGCAGCAAUACAUGCGCUGAUUCGACGGCCUCGGCUGGAAAGGAAGACGAGUCAUUUUGGAAGUAGAUGAGAAGCGAAGAUCGAGCGAAAUUUGCAAACGGUUACAGAAAAAAAAUUGAAGGAAAAAAAAAUUGAGGGCGUAAAUUUCACUGGCGUAUUCCACCCAUGUAUAAAACAAACGCAAUGUGCGUGGACACGGAAAGAUGCCCCGAUCUAGUUUCUUAUACCUGGUUGAUGGUACAUCAGUUUUAUGUUAAUUAAUGACUUUCAAUAAUUACUUUAAUUGCAGGUUAUGGAAUUUUUUUUUCAUACAACGUUGCUGCUACUGCCCCUCCUUAUUCUUACGUUAUAUGAGUUAAUAUUAUCCUCCAGGUUCGACAACCUGAACCCCUAGGAUCCGCAAUAUAUAGGGUGAGUCUUUCGAUUUUCAAACUCCGAGA